AUGGUGGCGCCGAGUGUCCCCACGCUGUUGUACGGGCACGUGGGUCGCGGAGUCUUCCGCAUGAGCCAGCAGAGGACAUGUCCCUGUUACUGGACGCGCUCGAGGAGGCGGCAGUCGAGCUAGCAGGAGUGGAAAUAUGCCUUGAAGUAGGAGCAGGAUCUGGUGUGGUGUCUGCAUUCCUGGCCUCCAUGAUAGGUCCUCAGGCCUUAUACAUGUGCACUGAUAUCAACCCUGAGGCAGCUGCAUGUACCUUGGAAACAGCACGCUGUAACAGAGUCCACGUUCAGCCAGUGAUCACAGAUUUGGUGCACGGCUUGCUGCCCAGGCUGAAGGGGAAAGUAGACCUGCUGGUGUUUAACUCCCCCCCCCGCCCCCCUACGUAGUGACUCCGCAUGAAGAGGUAGGAAGCCAUGGAAUAGAAGCAGCGUGGGCUGGUGGCAGAAACGGCCGGGAAGUCAUGGACAGGUUCUUCCCACUGGCUCCCGAGCUCCUCUCCCCAAGAGGGCUGUUCUACUUAGUUACCAUAAAAGAAAACAAUCCAGAGGAAAUCUUUAAAACAAUGAAGACAGGAGGUCUGCAAGGGACCACAGCACUUUGCAGGCAAGCAGGCCAAGAAGCCCUGUCAGUCCUCAGGUUCAGCAAGUCCUAGUGUCCUGAAAGCCCCGGAAGUAAACAAGAGCUGCUGGCAGCUGAACAACCGCUCAGUAGGUUUCAGACUGAUGUCAUUCCCUGGCCAAGAAAUUUUAUCAGAAAUCUGUCAUUUAAAAAAAAAAAAAGUGGAGCCAGGUGGUGGUGGCACUCACCUCUAAUUCCAGCACUCUGGAGACAGAGGCGGAGAAUCUCUGGAUUCAAGGCCAGCCGAUAUGCAGAGAGAGUUCCAGGACAGUCAGGGCUGCACAGAGAAACCCUGUUCCAAAAACUAAAACCAACCAAACCAAAGUGAAAANAAAAGGAAAGAAAAACAUGAGGGCUGAGUGGAUAGAUGGCUCAGAGGCUGAGACACUGACUGCUAGUACAAAGGAUUGGGGCUCAGUUCUCAGCACCCACAUGGUAGGGUAGUUCACAAGGGAUCCUGCCCUAUUCUGACCUGUACCUUUGGAGGUCAGAAUGGCAUGCAUACAUACUGCAGGCAAAAUACCCAUACACAA